rnacentral:misc_RNA from 1 species
AAUCACAGAAUAAGGAUAAAAAGGUUUCACCCUUCUUUUGUUUUAAGUUCUAAAUUGUUUACCUAUAAUUAGAUGGGCUCAAAGUGAGUAAAAGUAGGAAGAUUGUUAUCUGGAUUGUUACCAUCAUAAUCUAAUAUAGUGAUGCUAUUCAUUUUUCCAUUUCAUGGAAGGACCUGUUUGGCACUUGAAAAACACAGUUGUCUCGGUUCUAUGUUUAGACAUAAUUAUUUCUUGUACAACUUGUGUAAUUGAAGGCGCAGCAAUCUGCAUCCCAUUCCCCAACAUUAGGAAAUGAAUGUUUACCCAACACAUCUGAAUAUGUUAUGUGCUGCUACUUCCUAGUUUUAGAUAAAAAUUGCUCUAGUUCUAAGCAAAUGCAUAUUAUAAUAUUAAUGAUGUAUGUUUCAUAAAAGCUCACUGUUAGGAUAUACUACAUGCCAGGUAAUGCAAGUAUACGGUAAAACAAUAAUCUUUUUCUUGUUCUGUUCACCAAAGUGAUAUGCAGUUGGGACAUAUUUCUAUCGUAGCUUCAGUUGAGACUUUAGACUUAAAGUAGAUUUCAUUUGUAGCAUUUAUUGAAUUGUUUUGGAAAAAGAAAUAUGCUUUCUUCAAUUUCUUGUCUUGGAGGAAAAAUAUACUUCUGAAUACCAGUAGAGGGUGAAAUAACAAGGUGGUGCAUGCAUGGAUGUGUAAGUAGCAGUUUAGAUGACACUUAUUUUCUGAUAUUUUGUAAUGAAGUCUCAGAUGUGUACCAACUACAGCUAAUAGUUUUUGUACUUGAUCCUACUCGUGGUCAAUUUAUUAUCCUAGUACAGUUUUAGAUAGUGUUAACCUCACAGCUGCGUCAAAGGGUUUUAAGGAGCGCCUUAUAUUAUGGGUAGCAUCCUUUAACUACAUUUUCUCUUGCCACGUGAGGUAGGUGCCAAAAUUUAAUCCUUCCUGUCGUCUUGUCCCACCAUUAAUUGCAUUUAAAGUUAAUUCUAGAUUUCUUUGAUUUAGUCAUAUGUGAGCAUAUAUGGUGGUAGUGCAACUGUUACAAAUUUGUUGAAAUACUGCAACUUUUGCAACUUCUGUUUCUGUUUGUUGCAGGGUCGUCGGCAAAGGAGAUGGU